rnacentral:lncRNA from 1 species
AGAAGGAGGGAAAUACUUGCCUAAUAAUAGCAAGAAGCAAUACCUAAUGUAGCCAAAGGAGUUGUUGAAGGAAUUAUAUCUCUGGAGUCAGCCAAUCGGGAGAGACCAACUAGAGGAAAAAGUAAGAAAGGAGCUCAGAGCAGAAUCCAAAACCAUCUCUAGGAGACAUCAGGGCCUAGUGCUCUAUUCACUGUGCCACCUAGCUGGAAUCUAUGUCUUGACCAACAGAACCUGGAAUGGAAGAAAGUGACUAAACCCAGAUCCUCACCUCAGACAUUUUACCAAAACUGGAAGGUAUUCUGGGGCUUCUCUUGCUACCCACAGAGUAGCCCAAACUAUUCUAUUUCCUUGGAAGAAAGAAUAUUGAUUGAAGAAAGAAGACUGAUCUC